rnacentral:rRNA from 2 species
UAAGGUGAUAUGAACCGUUAUAACCGGCGAUACCCGAAUGGGGAAACCCAGUGUGACUCGUCACACUAUCAUUAACUGAAUCCAUAGGUUAAUGAGGCGAACCGGGGGAACUGAAACAUCUAAGUACCCCGAGGAAAAGAAAUCAACCGAGAUUCCCCCAGUAGCGGCGAGCGAACGGGGAGGAGCCCAGAGCCUGAAUCAGCAUGUGUGUUAGUGGAAGCGUCUGGAAAGGCGCGCGAUACAGGGUGACAGCCCCGUACACAAAAGCGCAUGUGCUGUGAGCUCGAUGAGUAGGGCGGGACACGUGGUAUCCUGUCUGAAUAUGGGGGGACCAUCCUCCAAGGCUAAAUACUCCUGACUGACCGAUAGUGAACCAGUACCGUGAGGGAAAGGCGAAAAGAACCCCGGCGAGGGGAGUGAAAAAGAACCUGAAACCGU